GAAACAAUUUGAAACCCGUUUGAUAACGUCUCAAGGAACACAAUUUUGUCGCUUCAGUUUCAAAAAAUGAUAGAAAUGAAACAAAAAAUCGUUUGACAAACCUGUUCCAUUUCACUCUAUUUCUGAUUCAAGAAAUAAGCCCUCUCCCCGAUAAAAAAUUAGCCCUUUCUCAAGGGCUCAUUUUCUUCUCGCCUAUUGAAACUCCUCUGCUAGAUUCGUCUGCUACCUCCAGCAAGAUUUACCUUCCUCAGCCUUAGCCUUGUAAUAACUGAGCUACAUCCCGUGAACCCUAUGGGAGAUUCACCUUUCUUGCAGAGAUUCGUCCUUCUAGCUGAUCACUGACCUAUAUGCGUGAAAGAGUGGGUUUUUACCUCACCCUUGAAGAGUAUACAAAAGUCGCAAAAUCAGGUGACUUCUACUUCAGAUCAUCCUUCGUAAUCGAUCACUGAAACUCAGGCUGUCUAGUUGAAGGUUUGGCUCCUCCAUCCACAAGUUGUUCUCUCCUCUGCAAGCGUCCAAGAAAGUUCAUGCUAUUACUUACCUCCAUCGAGCUUCAUUCUUUAAUUCGAUAGCAGGAACAGUGUGUGGAUCGGCUGAAAGGGAUAAAUCAAGAGGAUUUUUUGUAUCAUCGCUUACUCAGAUACAGAUUUGGUUAAAAAAAAAAAUUUAAUUUCUUCUUACCAUGAGAUGUACUGUUCUGCAGAACAUCCCCAGAAAGGGGGUUUCAUGUUUUCUUUCCAUGUUUAUGAAAUUUUUUCCCCUUGCUUGUAUGUCAUUCGAAUCUCUGGAUGCAUCUAUUAUUUUAAAUUCUGGAAUUUGUAAAAUCUGGAAUGCAUCUAUCAUCCCACCGCUGUUUCUCUA